GAGAAAGACCACACCAUGGGUGUGUUCUCUCCCCAGCUCCACGUUCUCACUCUCCACCUCCUGCUCUGAGCCUCAUGGCGUGGCAGGAUAAAGGCACUGUGGCCUGUUAGUGACCUCGUGAACUGUUCCUGCAGCUGCAAUGACAGAAUCACAGACUGGUUGAAGUUGACGAGGACCUCUGGUGGACACCUGGUCCAACCCCUGCUCAAAUAGGGACAGUCAGAGCAGGGUGCCCAGGACUGUGUCCAGACAGCUCUUGAACAUCUCUAGAAAAGGAGAUCCCACAUCAUCUCUGUGUUCCAGUGCUUGGUCAUCCCCACAGUACAGAAGUACUGCCUUGUGUUCAGAGGAAACCUUCUGUGUUCCAGUUCAUGCCCAGUGCCUCCUGUUUUGUCCAUAGGCACUGCUGUUCAACCACUCAAUCAUGCCACAAGGUUUAGGCAGAGCAGUGACAGGGGGCCAGUAACAUUAAAUUCCUCUUUACCCCAGCCCCAGGGAAGCAGCUGGUUAGAGCCAUGGGCUCCCCAAACCAGACUGCUGUGCUGAAAUUUUGCAUUGAAAAGCUGCAGUAUCACAUCACCACCAAAGACUAGCAGAGAAGGGGAAAGGCAUUCGUCUGGCAUAGCUGUUCCCUCCCCAGAGGAAAAGACCAUAAAUUAUAGUAAUGUUUUGAGGAUUUCUUAUUUUCACCCUGUUUAUCUGCCUGCUAGAGCCUUUUUUUUUUUUUUUUUUUUUUUUUUUUUUUUUUUUUUUUUUUUUUUUUUUUUUUUUUUUUUUUUUUUUUUAAAUAUGUCUUGUUAAGCCAUUUGUUUCACAGUUGCCAGUGGGGACAGUUUGUUCUCCCACACUGCAUUGGUAUAAUUCCCCCUAGUUUCUAAGUGAGGUCUUGAAUCAGGCUUCAGGGGGGAUUUGCCCUUGAAAGCGAACCCACUGACAGCUAUUUCCAGUUUGGUCCUGAUAGGAGGUUUACAAAAUAUCUUGUCCCACCAGCAGUCUGGUCCACUGCCUUUUUCCAGUACCUUUUUAGGAGGAAGAAAUGCUGGUCUGUGUCAGAAGGAAGGUGUUUGGAAGACAGUCAGACUGGGGACCUGGGCAGGAAUCAGCCCUCCUCCUUCUUUGAGGCAAAGAGCUACCCAGGAUGUGAGAAGACCUGUGUGAAAUCCCCAAAACUUUCUAAGAACAAUCCAGGUCUUGAAGAGGAAUUUUCAGUGCCAGCUGUCAAAAAUCUUUGGCAAGAAUGGUCCUUCAAAUGGAUUUCUCUUGAAGCAAGUAUCAGCCUCCUGAAUCAUCCUCAGGUAUCACUUGGAAAUUUCCAUCCUAAGCCAUUCCCAGGCACGGUGUACAUGAAGUGACAGAAGAGAAGAAAUGGGAGAACGUGUGGAGAAUGGCCUUCAGUACUGUGACAGCCAUCUCACUCUCUCCUCAGGCCCUCAGAAGGUUUGGGGAAAUUGGCUGCAGGACAUUAUAAACAGACUUUGCAAGAUCUGCAGGCCACACUUUCCUUUGAAGAUUUCUGUGAAAACAAUCCCUGAAACAUUGGGAUAUGUUGAAUGUCAGUUAUGAUUUAUGAAAUGAGACUUCAAGCCUUAUUUCCUUUUGUUACUGAGUAAAAGUUUUUCAAAUGCUUAUUAAUAUAACCUGAGGAUCAAGAAGGAAAACAAUGAAUCACUUGCAAAGAAGAAAUGAAUUCUCCAAGAGAAUCCUAAAAAAGAAGCAUUCAUCAGUCGUGCGUCUUCAUUUAUCUCCCCGGGCUGAGCUGCAGUCCCAUCUGUGUGACUGAUGCUGACUCUGAACAGCUCCUUCUCCACCUCCUGCCUGUCCUUUCCCUGGUUAGUCACACUUCCCACUUGGAGAAAACGACAAUCUCGAGCUCCUUAGAGGCGACACAACUCAGUUUCUCUAUCUUCCCCUAUUACCAUUCAUACUCUGGCCAGUUCAAAGAGUGAACACAAAUCAAUACCCUCAGCU
ensembl:lncRNA